CUUUUCUCUCUUUCUUUCUUUCUUUCUUGCUUUCUUUCUCUCUCUCUCAUUCUCCUAGUCUCUUGCUUUGUGCGAGCGGAGGAUGUGUAUUUUUACGAACGCGAUGGAUGG
rnacentral:ribozyme from 19 species